rnacentral:rRNA from 1 species
UACGAAGGGGGCUAGCGUUGUUCGGAAUUACUGGGCGUAAAGCGCGCGUAGGCGGCUUUGCAAGUCGGGUGUGAAAUCCCCAGGCUUAACCUGGGAACUGCAUUCGAGACUGCAUUGCUAGAGUAUGGGAGAGGGAAGUGGAAUUUCCGGUAGUAGCGGUGAAAUGCGUAGAUAUCGGAAGGAACAUCAGUGGCGAAGCGACUUCCUGGACCAAUACUGACGCUCAUGUGCGAAAGCGUGGGGAGCAAACAGGG